rnacentral:misc_RNA from 1 species
UAAUAAGUGUUUUAUAGCACUUUUUAAAUCCAUAUCCACCUUGUGUGCAAUGUCAGUCGAUCUUCUUCAUGGAGAUCGACCAAACAUCAACCUUUAUCUUUUAACUCUUUGUCUGAAAAAUAUUAUGAAUAAACAAUUCAAAAUA